AUUGAACGCUUUCUUCAGGCCUAACACAUGCAAGUCGAGCGGAUGAAGGGAGCUUGCUCCUGGAUUCAGCGGCGGACGGGUGAGAAAUGCCUAGGAAUCUGCCUGGUAGUGGGGGAUAACGUCCGGAAACGGGCGCUAACACCGCAUACGUCCUGAGGGAGAAAGUGGGGGAUCUUCGGACCUCACGCUAUCAGAUGAGCCUAGGUCGGAUUAGCUAGUUGGUGGGGUAAAGGCCUACCAAGGCGACGAUCCGUAACUGGUCUGAGAGGAUGAUCAGUCACACUGGAACUGAGACACGGUCCAGACUCCUACGGGAGGCAGCAGUGGGGAAUAUUGGACGAUGGGCGAAAGCCUGAUCCAGCCAUGCCGCGUGUGUGAAGAAGGUCUUCGGAUUGUAAAGCACUUUAAGUUGGGAGGAAGGGCAGUAAGUUAAUACCUUGCUGUUUUGACGUUACCAACAGAAUAAGCACCGGCUAACUUCGUG
rnacentral:rRNA from 1 species